GGAGAUUAGAUUCAGAUUACUAAUAUUUAUCACAACUACUUAAUCGCCAAAUUGGAAUUAUAAGCAAUAUGUUAUUAUGACAAUUAUAUUUAUUUAACCAAUCUGAAUCUAAGAUGCCACGGGAAUAUCUACAUCAGUCGAUUGAUUUAUAAAUAGAUUAUAUUAAUUACAACAUAAUCUCAGGAGUUUCAGAGUUUUUCUGAUCAAACAUAAUUCUCGGAGCCUACUCCACUGAAUAUUGGAAAUAUAAAUUGUUUUCCUGUGCCACCAAGUUUAAGUGGUUUUAUUUUUUGCUUAGAUUGACUUAGGGAGGCUCAUCUGUAUAUAAACACAUAGUAUUUGACCGGCAAGAAGCCGGAGCAGUUGUGUUUUCGUUCUAAGAAACCGGUUUUCCGUCACUACCAUGAGAUAAACAAAACAAAAUUCGCACCUAUACAGGUGAAGUGGUAACACUAAUACCUAUUUGUUUAUAUAAAUAAGCGAACAUUUUCUCUUUUCUUUUUGCGCAACGUUUUUUGUUUAGUGAUGUCUAUCUUUUGCGUUGUGGCCACGGCACACAAAAAAUUUGAAAACAAAAUGACUCAGCUUUUAGUGCAAGAGCGACAAGAGCCCCAAAUAAGUGGACAUACUUGUAUGCAAUAUAUAAUGUACUCUAUAAUUUAGUACCACAUCCGAUUAGAAGUGUAUAGGUUUACUACUCGUAUCACUUCUAGCCCCGUUAAACAUUUUAUGGCGUAUAGAAAUGCCGCUAUCUGCUAAAACAAACAAGCAAACGUGUGAAACAACACGAAAGCCAAAGUUGGAUUUAUGCAAAACGCAAUAAGCCAGAGGCGACGAUUGUCAUCGGUGAAAACUAUGAGUUCGUGGACGCAUUUAUUAAGUUGGACGUGCCUGUAUUUCUAUACUUUUUUAAUAUUUUCAUAAUAAUAUUUAUUACAUUUAAGAUAUUUUUUAUUUUAAUCACGUAAGUACAUUCUUCUUUACUUUACCUAAAAUAUUUAUUAAUAAUUACAAGCCUGUUUAAAUGCAAAACUUAUUUUUUUUAUCUAUUAUCAUUGGGGGCCUAAUUUCUUACCCUCGACUGUGUGAACAUUUGUUUACUGUUUUCUAUAUCUAUGUGUGGAUGGAUUUUUGAUCCACACAAGAUUUGAUUACACUCCAUUGUAGUCUUUUAUUGCCUUUAGCAGGUCUAAUCGCACUAUCAAUAGAGGAAUUUUUUUGCGUCUUCCAACUUGUUUACUUAAUUAUUUAUAGAAAUCAGCUGCUUUUAUCAGCAAAACAAAGCGCUUGGAAAAAAGAAAAAGAUGGCAACUCUGGACCUUUAUUGGUGUACGUGCCGCCACACACACAAGUAAAGCCCAUCGAGUUGCAAGUAGAAGUUAAGUUAAGCGUCCAUAUUUUAAAUGGAAUUGCAAAAAUUAAAAUGUAUUUGCACGGCGGACUUGUCGAAAUUCGUGCAUACAUUUAGUAUGUAAAGUAAAUAUGCAGAAAACACAAAGGAGGCAACAGCCCCACACACGCAAAUGGGCUCUCAAGUGCAAUGGUGUUGGUGUGCUCGAUUGAAUGAACCUCCCUCAACCCAAAAAAAAUAGCAACAACAAACACAGCAGCGGCAAUGAUAAUACAUACAGCGCACUGUUUCAUUCAAGAGUCUAGCUGGCCCACGCACACGUACACAGGAACAAACAAAGUAAUCUUCCAGCUAUACAUGUCCCAAUUCGAAGUACCUUCAAGGCAAUAAAUCACUUUACUUCUUGGCCCUCAUAAUUUCGCAUUACUAGUCUUGUGUUUGAAAGAUGUAUAUAUAUUUAUAUAUGUUGGCAUAUUAAAUGAUUUUUAAUUUUAAUUAUGGAAAAUUUUCCAAAGCAAUUGACUCUUGUGCCCUUGCAUUGUAAUAAUGUCCAUGAUUAUUAUUAUUAAAUUGAUAAAGUUAUCAACUUUCUUCUCCUUCUUUUGCCUCUGAUGUGCCAUAAAUAGCAUUGAUUUCUUUUAUUAUCAUAUUAAAUAAAAUUGUUUCAAGUGUAAGUGCGGGAACACCAAGUAAAUGUCCAAUCAGACACUUGGCCUUUAUUGAUUUGUCCAGAAGCGGUUUUAAGUGAGCGAUUAAGUGUUUUGGCGGAAGUGCCAAAAGGUAAAUGAAAAACCAGGAAGCCAAGUUCUCUGACUUCCGCCUUUCCCCGCGCACAUAUGUAUAUAUGCACAUAUGCAUGUUGGGAUGCUUUAAUUUAGCAUCAUUCCAUCCCAAGCCCAUCG